AAAUGCGAUAAGUAAUGUGAAUUGCAGAAUUCAGUGAAUCAUCGAAUCUUUGAACGCACGUUGCGCUCCUUGGUAUUCCUCGGAGCAUGCCUGUUUGAGUAUCAUGAAAUCUUCAAAGUAAAUCUUUUGUUAACUCAAUUGGUUUCUACUUUGGUAUUGGAGGUCUUUGCAGCUUCACACCUGCUCCUCUUUGUUCAUUAGCUGGAUCUCAGUGUUAUGCUUGGUUCCACUCGGCGUGAUAAGUUAUCUAUCGCUGAGGACACUGUAAAAGGUGGCCAAGGUAAAUGCAGAUGAACCGCUUCUAAUAGUCCAUUGACUUGGACAAUACUUUUAUGAUCUGAUCUCAAAUCAGGUAGGACUACCCGCUGAACUUAAGC
rnacentral:misc_RNA from 1 species